UACUAGAUAUAAGUUCUAUUUGGAUAUCGAAAUAAGCUAUUUAUUGAUAUCGUAUUCUGUAUGAAGAUUUUCUAUUGCGAUUAGAUAUAAAAUAAAAUGAAUAAUUGUUUAUAUACCCCUCAAAACUUAAAAAAUAUCUUAUUUAUCCCUUUUUUUUUUUUCUUUCUAAUAUACCCCUCAUAUAUUCCUCCGUUAUUCCAAAAUACUCCUACAGUUACCAUCCGUUAAGUUAACUUGGGUUAAACAUGAGUUAAAUAUCUAAUAGAAUUAAAAAAAAUCAAAAUACUUAUUUUGCACUUAACUUAAGUACAAAUAAGAAAUAUUGGUGAUGGGUAGAAGGGUAUACUUGAAAAAACUAAAAAUUAAAAUACUUUUUGUACCCGUAACUUAAGAGCAAAUUAGAAAAGUCGGUGAUGGUGGAAGGGUAUAUUUGAAAGGGUAAAAUAAUAAUUUUAUAUAGAUAAUAGAUAUUGCUAACAGUUCAUUAACAGAAUUUAACUUCAAUGGUAUAUUUGAAAUAGGUUGGAAUGUAAAAAAUGUAUUUUCAAUAUUAGCCUUCUAAGAGGGGUAAAUUAAAAAGUCAAAAACUUUUUAGGAGUAUACAAGCAAUCGCUCCAAAAUAAAAUAAUAUGUUUAGUAACAGAUGAUAUUGCCGCAUAAGUACUAGAACUUUAACAUUACUAACUGGACAAUAAGACAAUAAGUAGUGGUGAUACAGCCAACAACUCAACUACGGUUAUUUUUUUAGAAAAACUUCAAAUACCACCUACGUGAUUCGGUGCUUUUUCAUUUUAGUACCUUAUGAUUUAAACUGUAUCACUUUAGUAUCCUGUGAUUUUGUUUUUCUCUUUUUGUUAUUCCCUUCGUUAAUUUUUUUAUUAAAUCAAUGAGAAAGUUAAAACUAUAAGGUACUUAUUAAAUCAAUGAGAAAGUUAAAACUAUAAGGUACUAAAGUAAAAAUUUCGUAAACCACAAGAUACUAAAAUGAAUAUUCGAUAAACCACAAGGGGUAUCUGAAGUCUUUUUCUAUAUAUCUUAACGGAGGGAAUAACGGAAAGAAAAAAGCGAAACAAUAGGAUACUAAAGUGAUACACUUUAAACCACAUGGUACAAAAGUAAGAAAGCACUAAACCACAGGCGGAUAUUUGAAGUUUUCCCUUUUUUAAAAAUUUUUGAAUAUUUUAUUUUAGUUAAUUUGUUUAAAUGGUUUUUGAUAGAUUUUUAAGAUCAUUUUAUAUAGAGUAAGUCUCUAAAAAUUAUAGAUAUGAUUUGAAAAUUUUUAAAUUAAAAUUAGAUUUAUUUGUAUUAAAAAAAUUUCUAAAAUUAAGAUAUUUGAUUUGGAUUAGAAUAAUGGUUUUCUUUAUUAUAAAUAGGGUUAAAAGCUUAUGUAGAAAAGGUGUUUUGGUUAAUAAAAAUUUA
rnacentral:lncRNA from 1 species